UUCACUAAGAAGAGGGAAAAUUUUAAAAUUAAAUUUUCACUAAGGAGGGAACAAUCUCCGGGUUCUUCAGUAGACGCUCUUGAUGUAACUCAAGGAGGGGGAAGGGUGGAAAGGGGCACUCAUGCCUUUACCAGAAAAACAAGAAACAUUUUAUUACAUAUUAACCAACAGUUUACUCUGAUUCUGAACUUGAGCCAGCAAAGGAGAGAAAGGGAGGCCCCGGCAUUAGGAUUUGUGACUAUUCCGUAGCUAAGUCAGUCACUGAAGGUUAGCAGGCAAACUUAAACAGCUCCCUGACAGAAGUGCUGGUACAGGAUGUGAAAUACCUCGCAGCUGAGCUCGGAAACUCAAACCAAACUGAGAAACAGAAACAAGACCCUGCUAGGUCAGGGCUCUACACUCAGCACGCCACAGCUAAAGACGCAAAACAAGAGUCUUCUAAACACCUCGCAAGUUUUCCCUCCCACUACGAGAUAAACUCUUGCAAAUAGUUUGUUUUGGAUGCAGAAGGCUCCCCUUCACGGCAGAUAAACAACUAUAUCGCAGGGCUGUGACAAACAGUUUGCUGGGGAAAAACACAGCUGGCUGCGAGGUCCCCGCGAGCAGAGCGGCCCCAAGAAAAGGGAAAGUUUCAGACACCCAGCCCUACGGAUGAAGCACAACACCAGGCUUCUCCCACAGCUGCAGAAAUCAACUGAAGAGCGCCUUGAAUUACUUCCCAAACUCAAUAGUCAGCAGCAAAACCAAGAAUAAACCCCAAGACUUCCUAUGCCCACUGGGUGCACCCUACACCAGAUCACCUACUACACGGGCAGGAGCAAUAACUGCCAUCCCAAAGAGCUCGAGAACCGCAUGCCCCAAGUCAGAUACACAGAUAACACCCUUCGCGUCGUCGCGUUCUCCAUCUCUGCGCUCUCAGCUAUGCCACCUCUCACCUCUCCUGGCCAACAGCACCACAGCUUACCUCUUCAACGAGAGAUCUUAAAGAGGAAUUUCUUUAGGAACCACUAUUUACUCUUUGACCAAUACUAUUAAAAAGUGGCGUGUGUUACGGGCUGGCUGUUCGGACCGACCUGCCUCCCAUGCCCUCGAGAAGCAGCUCCCUUCCCCGUCCCCAACCAUCGGGCAGCAUUUAGAAGCAGCACCCUCAACAAGAGCGCUGGCCGCAGUUCAGUGGCAAAGAGAUUGCCGACUACCUGCGGCUUAGGAAGCGCUGCCACAGCAGAAAGGCAAGUCGUUAGUUAAACUGGUACAGAACUCAAGCUGGAAAAUAAUGACAAAAUUUAACCCCUCAGUUCCCAGCUACCAAAAGUAUUUACUCACUUUUUCACAUUUGCCUCCCCGUUGGGAAUUCUGCGUAGUUUCUUCUUCUUCAGUAUUUUCACAGCUCUCCUACAGAGGGUUUCGGAGUCCAACAUCUCCUUGACUUUGCCGUAAGACCCUUCUCCAAGUAAGUCUCCCAUCAGGUAUUUGCCAAUGAGCUUGGCCCUUUUCCGCCGCGGCUGGUAGAUGACCUCCGUAGAGUCAAUGCGAUGGAUAAAAGUGUCCAUCCCCACAGACAUCAGCUCGCUCUCCGCAAACAUACCCAGCUGCUGUGGCUCCUGCAUAUCCAUCCUGGAUUAAGUUCCUUAACCUGUUUUCCUUAAGCGCUCAGGGUUUUAAUCCUGUUUGUUAGUUUCCAACACUCCCUUUUACUCCUUCUUGAAAAAAAAAAGAA